UGUGCACCUGUUUUUCUCAACCAGAUUGCACACACCUUUAGGACAGACUGAAGCUGUGGUUUCCCUGUAGCUGAUGGGGUGACUACAUUAUUAAGAAGACUCUGAUGGAAGUGGCCCAUUCAGUUGUUUCUGGAAAACACGUAAAUUUGGCCAGUGGAAAUCAAGGCUAAAGACAGUCUGUGCUGAGAAAAUAAUGUAAGCAAAGACAUAGAGACAAAUAUUUCCAAGUAUGUUUUGAGAAUGUGGCAAAGACAAUGUUACACAUUUGCCAAACUAUUUCAUUUUCCUCCUAAGCUCAUAGCUGGGCUUUAUUCCCCAGCCCGCGUUACCACUAAAUGGGGCAAUGUGAGCAAAUUUUAGUCAAUGAAGUACAGGCAAAAGUGAUAUAAAAGACUUCCAAGCCUCAUCUAGGACAUUCCGCAUUCGGGCUUCCCUCAUCAUUUUCCUGACAGGUGCAAAGGAUCCUAUGGAGACUCCUAGGUGCCCCUGGGAUCAUGGAACCAUGAAGAGGAAGCCCCUUCACUGGCCAUAUGGGAGAUCACUCUUGGGAUACACAACUGGGUUGUGACAUGAGCAAAGACCGAACCUGUUAUUGAGCUAAGCAUUGCGAUAUGAAGUUGUUGAUUUAUCACAGCAAUUAGUCUACCCUGACUACCUUCAGGAGCCGAGGCCACUAUGCUGUUCUCGCAAAACAAGCCAUCUGGAGGUCAGCGUUCCAGGACUGGAGCAGCAGCUGUAUGAUGUCACCAGGAACCCCCUCCCCGCCCCAGCUCCCUCUGUCAUCCUGCCCCCUUGUCCUUGGCACGUGGUUUUCAUCCGCAUUCUGCUGGCCCACUUUUGCAUGAUAAUUGCUUCAUACCCAUCUCCAUAACUGUGCUGAAAAUGAGACAAAACAAGGAAGAGGUGACUUUUUUCAAGAAAGCAAUAGCUUUCCCAGGACCCCGUCAGAUAUUAGCUUAUGUCUGUUUAGCCAAAUCUGUGUGAGAUGGACACCCUUGCCUCACUGGACUUUAGGAAGUGAUUCUCUUUUUUCAGACAGGUUCUCACUCUGUCACCCAUGAUUAUAGCUCACUGCAGCCACAAACUCCUGAGCUCAAGCCAUCCUCCCACCUCAGCCUCCCAGGUAGCUAGGACUACAGGUGCAUAUCAUUGUGCCCAGUUAAUUUUUUGUUUGUUUGUUUGAGACGGAGUCUCACCCUGUCACCCAGGCUGGAGUGCAGUGGCGUGAUCUCGGCUCACUGCAACCUCCACCCCCCGGGUUCAAGCGAUUCUCCUCCCUCGGCCUCCUGAGUAGCUGGAAUUACAGGCUCGUGCCACUACCAUCUGGCCAAUUUUUGUAUUUUUAGUAGAGACAUGGUUUUGCCGUGUUGUCCAGGCUGGUCUCGAACUCCUGACCUGGUUCCACCUUGGCCUCCCAAAGUGCUGGGAUUACAGGUGUGAGCCACCAUGCCUGGCCGUGCCCAGCUAAUUUUUUAAAUUUUGUUGUAGAGAUAGGGUCUCAUGAUAUUGCCCAGGCUGGGGAAGUGAUAUUUUAUUUGGGCAUAUUUACUAUCCAAAUAAAGUUUAAUUUCUGUUACUAAAAAUCAAGGCAUCGACAGAUAUUUAGUAGACAACUAAGAUAAUCUAUGAGACCCAAGCAUUCACUCAUUCAUUAAGUGUGGGGAUAUAAUGGGAUGCUAGUACAGGCAUGACCUUGUCUUCAACGGGUUUACAGCUACUGGGGGAAAACUAAGCACAUUAGUUAAUACAGAAUAAUAGACUGAAGUAACUGUCCCAGAGAAACAAUAUGGCCCUAUGUACAUAAUAAGCAGCCUCCUUCAGUGUGGAGUGUUAAGACACAUCUCCAUGGAGGAACAAAUGAGUUGAAGUCUAAAAAGUUAGUAAAGUUUCACAUAUGACAAAGUGUGUGGGGGUGUAUGUAUAUGUAUGUGGAAAGAACUUUCCAGAAAAAGAAAGACGGGUAUGUGAAAAAGAAUCUUAUAUGGAAGAGACAGAAUGGCAAAUCUAAGAAACUGGAAAUAUAUAUAUAUAUUUAUACUUAUAUAUAAUAUAAUAAGUAAAUACUUAUAUGUAAUAUAUGUGUAUAUUCUUAUACGUAUAUAGCUACAGAUGAAAUAAAGAAUAGACAAGAGUAGUAUAGGAUGGGGGCAUUUCAAGGCCUUAUAAGAAAAACUAUCUAAGGAUUUGACACAGGAAGUUGGGAACACCAUAUUUGCCUUGAGAAAAGAUCACUCUGCUGUGGUGUAAAGGGUCAAUGGGAGGCACAAUAAAGAGAUUGCUAUAGACUGAGUCUCUGUGUCCUCCCCAAAUUCAUGGUUGAAACCUAAGGCCCAAUGCGAUGGGAUUUGCAGGUGGGGUUUUGGGAGGUUAUUAGGCCAAGAGAGUGGAACCAUCAUGGAAGGGAUUAAUUCCCUUACAAAAGAGGCCCCAGAGAGCUCCUCACCAUUUCCAUGAUGUAAGGGCUCGGCCAGAAGACAGCCCUCUAUGAAUCAAGAGAGGGGCCCUCACCAGCCACUGAAUCUGCUGUGUCUUUGUCUUGGGCUUUCCAGCCUCCAGAACUG
ensembl:lincRNA